UACGUAGGGGGCGAGCGUUUGUCCGGAUUCAUUGGGCGUAAAGAGCUCGUAGGCGGCGCGGUAAGUCGGGUGUGAAAUCUUGGAGCUUAACUCCGAAACUGCAUUCGAUACUGCCGUGCUUUGAGGACUGGAGAGGAGACUGGAAUUUACGGUGUAGCGGUGAAAUGCGUAGAUAUCGUAAGGAAGACCAGUGGCGAAGGCGGGUCUCUGGACAGUUCCUGACGCUGAGGCACGAAGGCCAGGGGAGCAAACGGG
rnacentral:rRNA from 1 species